rnacentral:lncRNA from 1 species
AAGAAACCGAGGCAAUUUUGCUGCUGCUGUUGUUUUUUUGAAGUCAAGGCAAGCCUUCGGAUGACUCCUCAGUGAAAGAGGAGAUUUGCAAGGCCAUAUCACCAUUAAUGCACUGAGUGAUCUGGAGAAAGACCUGCUGGGCCAUAAUGGGGAAAUCCAACAGCAAGUUGAAGCCUGAAGUUGUGGAAGAGCUGACCAGGAAGACAUACUUUACAGAGAAGGAGGUGCAGCAGUGAGCUGCGUUGCUUGGAAAUCUGGCUACGCUGAG